AUUGAACGCUGGCGGCAUGCCUUACACAUGCAAGUCGAACGGUAACGGGCCUUCGGGUGCCGACGAGUGGCGAACGGGUGAGUAAUGUAUCGGAACGUACCUUUCAGUGGGGGAUAACGUAGCGAAAGUUACGCUAAUACCGCAUAUUUUGUGCGCAGGAAAGCAGGGGAUCGCAAGACCUUGCGCUGAUGGAGCGGCCGAUAUCAGAUUAGCUAGUUGGUGAGGUAAAGGCUCACCAAGGCGACGAUCUGUAGCGGGUCUGAGAGGAUGAUCCGCCACACUGGAACUGAGACACGGUCCAGACUCCUACGGGAGGCAGCAGUGGGGAAUUUUGGACAAUGGGGGCAACCCUGAUCCAGCCAUGCCGCGUGAGUGAAGAAGGCCUUCGGGUUGUAAAGCUCUUUCGGCCGGGAAGAAAUCGUAUCAGCUAAUACCUGGUGCGGAUGACGGUACCGGCAUAAGAAGCACCGGCUAACUACGUGCCAGCAGCCGCAGUAAGAC
rnacentral:rRNA from 1 species